CCCGUAGUUUGUUUGGUGAUGCGUCUGAGACACUUGAACCUAGGACAUUCAGUCCAGAGAAGAAAAAUGUGAGUGAAGAAGUUUGUAAUGUGGACCAUGAAGUACACAAGAUAGACGUCAAAGACAGUAUAAGCAAACUUAAGAGGAAGGAGCAGAAAAUCCCAGAUUUAGAGAGAGAGAAUCUCUUACUUGAUAACAAGCGGAU